UACGUAGGGUGCGAGCGUUGCCCGGAUUUAUUGGGCGUAAAGGGCGCGUAGGCGGCUCGGCACGUCCGUUGUGAAAUCGCCCGGCUCAACUGGGCGGGGUCAGCGGAUACGGCCGAGCUUGAGCAAGCUAGGGGGCAAUGGAAUUCCCGGUGUAGUGGUGGAAUGCGUAGAUAUCGGGGAGGAACACCAGUGGCGAAGGCGGUUGCCUGGAGCUUUGCUGACGCUGAGGCGCGAAAGCGUGGGGAGCGAGUCCGG
rnacentral:rRNA from 1 species